rnacentral:rRNA from 2 species
CCGGCCUGACAGGGCGACCGGCCACACUGGGACUGAGACACGGCCCAGACUCCUACGGGAGGCAGCAGUGGGGAAUAUUGCACAAUGGGCGAAAGCCUGAUGCAGCGACGCCGCGUGAGGGAUGACGGCCUUCGGGUUGUAAACCUCUUUCAGCAGGGAAGAAGCGAAAGUGACGGUACCUGCAGAAGAAGCGCCGGCUAACUACGUGCCAGCAGCCGCGGUAAUACGUAGGGCGCAAGCGUUGUCCGGAAUUAUUGGGCGUAAAGAGCUCGUAAGCGGCUUGUCACGUCCGGUGUGAAAGCCCGGGGCUUAACCCCGGGUCUGCAUCCGAUACGGGCAGGCUAGAGCGUGGUAGGGGAGAUCGGAAUUCCUGGUGUAGCGGUGAAAUGCGCAGAUAUCAGGAAGGAACACCGGUGGCCGAAGGCGGAUCUCUGGGCCAUUACUGACGCUGAGGAGCGAAAGCGUGGGGAGCGAACAGGAUUAAAUACCCUGGUAGUCCACGCCGUAAACCUUGGGAACUAGGUGUUGGCGACAUUCCCCGUCGUCGGUGCCCGCAGCUAACGCAUUAAGUUCCCCGCCUGGGGAGUACGGCCGCAAGGCUAAAACUCAAAGGAAAUUGACGGGGGCCC